rnacentral:lncRNA from 1 species
AGCUGUAGCCGUUGGCCUACACCAUAGCCACAGUAAUGCCAGAUCCAAGCUGUGUCUGUAGCCUCCACCAUAGCUCAUGACAAUGCUGGAUCCUUAACCCACUGAAUGAGACCAGAGAUCAAACCCACAACCUCAUGGUUCCUAGUUGGAUUCGUUUCUGCUGUGCCAUGAUGGGAACUCCCCAUUCCUUUUUUUUUAAUAAUGAUUUUUAUUUUUUCCAUUAUAGCUGGUGUACAGUGUUCUGUCAGUUUUCUACUGUACAGCAAGGUGACCCAGGUACACGUACAUUAUACAUUCUUGUUUCUCACAUUAUCAUGCUCCAUCAUAAGUGACUAGAUAUAGUUCCCAGUGCUAUACAGCAGGAUCUCACUGCUUAUCCACUCCAAAGGCAAUAGUUUGCAUCUAUUAACCCCAAAUUCCCAAUCCAUCCCGCUCCCUUCCCCUCCCUCUUGGCAACAAGAAGUCUGUUCUCCAUAUCCAUGAUUUUCUUUUCUGCGGAAAGUUUCAUUUGUGCUGUAUAUUAGAUUCCAGAUAUAUGUAAUAUCAUAUGGUAUUUGUCUUUCUCUUUCUGACUUACUUCACUUAGUAUGAGAAUCUCUAGUUCCAUCCAUGUUGCUGCAAAUGGCUCCAUUCCUUUUGAUAGCUGAGUAAUAUUCCACUGUAUUAGAUAUACCACAGUUUUUUUUUUUUUAAUUCAGUCAUCAGUUGACACAUAUUUGGAUUGUUUCUACCUUUUUGCUGUUAUGAAUAAUGCUACUAUGAACAUUCAUGUGCAGGUUUUCAUGUGGAUAUUUGUUUUCAUUUCUCUUGAUUAUACCUAGGAGUGGAACUGCUAGGGCACAUGGUAAUUCUGUGUGUAAUCAUUUAAGAGACUGCAAGACUAUUUUCCAAAGAGGCUGCAUUUUCACUGGCAGAAUAUGAGGGUUUUGACUUCUCCACAUCUUCAUCAACACUUGCUACUAUUUGCCUUUUUGAUUAAAGCCACCCUGGUGGGUAGGAAGUGGUAACUCAUUGUGUUUGUGACGUUGAACAUAUUUUCAUAUAAUUAUUGGUUAUUUAUUAUCUUCUUUUGGAGAAAUGUCUAUUCAGAUUUUUUUACUUAUUUUUAAGUAGAGCUUUUUUUUUAUUAUUAUUGAAUUGUAAGAGUUUUCUAUAUGUUGUGGAUGUUAGACCCUUAUCAGAUAUAUAUAAUUUGCUAAUAUUUUCUCUCAUUCAGAGGGUUUUUUUUUUUUUUUAGUUUUCUUAGUGUCUAUUGACACAAAGUUUUUAGUGUUGGAGUUCCUGUCGUGGCGCAGUGGUUAACGAAUCCGACUAGGAACCAUGAGGUUGCAGGUUUGAUCCCUGGCCUUGCUCAGUGGGUUAAGGACCUGGCAUUGCUCUGAGCUGUGGUGUAGGUUGUGGACGCGGCUCGGAUUCUGCGUUGCUGUGGCUCUGGUGUAGGCCGGCGGCUACAGCUCUGAUUGGAUCCCUAGCCUGGGAACCUCCAUAUGCCGCGGGAUCGGCACUAGAAAAGGCAAAAAGACAAAAAAAAAAAAAAAAAAGUUUUUAGUAUUAAUGAAGUCCAGUUUUUCUACUUUUUCUUUUGCUGCUUGUACAUUUGAUGUCUUAUGUGAGAAAUUCUUGCCUAGUCCAAGAUUAUGAAGAUGUACAUCUAUGUUUUUUCCCAAGAGUUUUAUAAUUUUAUCUCUUACACUUAGGUCUUUUAUCCAUUUUGAGUUAAUUUUAAGUAUAUGAUGUAGGGUAGCGGUCCAAAAUAAAUUUUUUACAUGUGGCUGUCCAGUUUUUCUGGCAGUAAUUCUUGAGAAGACUAUUCUUUCCACUUUAAUGAGUUCUUGGAAUCCUUGUUGAAAAUGAGCUGACCGUAGACCCAGAAGUUUUUUUCUGGCCUCUUAAUUCUAUUCCAUUUAUCUAUAUGUCUAUACUAUGUCAGUACCACACUGUCUUAUAGAAAGUUCAAAAUUAAGAAGUGUGAGUCGUCCAACUAUGUUAUUUUUCAAUAUUGCUUUGGCUGUUCUGGGCCUCCUCUUUUAUUCCUUUUUUUAGCAAUUUGAGAGUUCUCUCUCUUUGAUCCAUCUAAUUAAAAGUUGGUCAAAAUAUUUAUCUUUUCAAAGAAUCAACUCCUGGCUUUGUUGAUUUUUUUUUCCUCGCCUCUGUUUUUACUUAUUUAUGCUUUAAUCUUUAUUUUUUCCCCUUCCUUCUGUUUGCUAUUGUUUUAGUUUGUUCUUCUUUUUCUCGUUUCUUAAGGUGAAAGACUAGGUUACUGACUUGACAUUUUUUUAACAUAGACGUUUACAGCCACAUAUUUCCCCUGCUAUUGUUCCAACCCAUGUAUUUUAAUGUAUUAUAUUUUCAUGUUAAUUCAUCUCAAAGUAUUAUCUAAUUUCCCUGUGAUUUUCUCUUUGACCCAUUGGUUUUUUAUUUCCCACAUAUUUUUAAAUUUCUAAAGUACUUCUGCUAUGGGUUUCUAAUUUUGUUCUAUUGUGGUUGAAGAAUAUACUCUAUAUGAUUUCUUUCUUUUUCAGUUUAUUGGCUUGUUUUUAUGCCAUAAUAUAUGGUCUGUCUUGGAGAAUAUUCUAUGUGCAAAAUGAUUUAAUAAACAUUUUUAUAGUUUUAAUUUUGAAUGUGAUAAAUAUUGAUAGAUAUUAUUCAUAACUAAAGCUUUUUGAGAUUCUCAGUAACCCGAGAACAGUGAAUGUGAACAGAUCCUAAGCUUAAAAUGAUUAAUAACCACUGACCUAAAGGAAUGUUGAGAAACGACCCUGGACACAAAUUCGACUCUGAUUAUGAAAGAUGCUAAUUGCCUUGCAAUAAGUAUAGACUUUCCUCUGUAAUCAAUACGAAGUCAGUGUCAGUGUCAGUUUUUAGGAGGAAUGAAUAAUUGCAAUAUCUGCUGCAUUCCUGGGGCAUAGAACAGUCCUUAGAUGCUCAGCAAAUAUUUGUCAGAUGAUAGUCUGAAGUGUGGAUUGAGAGACCAGAGGCAGGAAAACUGGUUUGUUUUUAGAUUUUAGGGAAGAGAUGCUUAGAUGAAUGAGAGCCAUUCUGAGAAAUUAUAUUUCAACUCUCUAAUUACUUUGUAAUAUUGGCCUUUAUCAAGAAAAGAAAUGUGAAAUAGUCCCUGGAUAUUUUUUUCUUCCCUGUAGAGCAUUCAAUGUCUUUCCAAGAGUUUACCAUGAUUUCUUAAUGAGUGUAAGCAAUCCUUUGCUAAUGCAAUUUUUCAGAUUUCGUAGUUUGAAUAAAUAGAAAGCCAAUAUAUAAACUGAGCACAAAGCAGCUUAAAGGGAUUCACUGUGGUGAUAAUCACAGUAUCUCUUCUUUAAAAUAGGGGAUCCUGCUUGGAGUUUCUGUGUGCUUUGAAACAUGUCAAUUUAAACCUAUGUAAUUUAGCAUAUAUUGUGAGGAUAUUUUGAGAUUAUAUAGCCUAUAAAUCAAAAUUCCAUAAAAAAAAACAGCUGGAACACUCAAAAUAGGAUAAAUUAGGGAGGUUUUAUUUAUGUUGCAACUAUUUAGAGAGGUAAAUAAAGAGGAAGAAGAGACCAGGGGAAUGGAAAAUAUUUGAAAAGCAAGAAAAAAAAAGUGUGUGUGGGAUGGAGGGCACAGGUGUAGGCUUUAACUUUGAGAUGAGAUGUACCGCUUCCUUCAACCCUGCAGGAAGGGAUUAAACAAACAGAUGUAGCAAUAGAUAUAUUGAAGCCCAAAGUUGAUGAGAAAGCCCAUGCUACUUGACUGGGACUAGACUAACUCUUGCCUUGGAUUCUCACUGAUCGCAAGAGGUCUCUUGGCUGGUAAGGGGGAGAAGUUAUCCUCAUUCUCUAGCCAAACAAGGCGUCAUUUUCUUAUUGUCGAGAAAGAGACACGUGAACAGGUCUACCUGGGGUUAAUCUUCCUUUCCUCGUACACCCAGGCAUCAGGUACCACAUGCUGGUGUCCUUGAACCCCAUUCCCUUUAACAGAGAUCAUGUGUUGUACUGGAGAGAUAAGUACAAUCUAGUUGUACCAAAAAUGACACAGGAGAUCUCUUGUGGCUCAGUGGGCAAGGAUCCAGCAAGUGUCACUGCAGUGACUUUGGUUGCUGCUGUAACUGGGGUUCAAUCCCUGGUCCAGGAAUUUCUGCAUGGGGGGGGCAUGGCCAAAAAAAAGAAAAUGACACAGAAGUAUUUUCUCGACCUAUACUUUAAAAAUAGCUUUGGAGUUCCCGUUGUGGUUCAGUGCGUUAAGAACCCAGCACAGUGUCCGUGAAGAUGUGGGUUUGAUCCCUGGCCUCACUUAGUGGGGGAAGGAUCCAGCAUUGCACAAGCUGCGGUGUAGGUCGCGGAUGUAAUUUGGAUCUGGUGUGGCUGUGGCCGUGGUGCAGGCUGGCAGCUGCAGCUCCAGUUUGACCCCUAGCCUGGGAACUUCCAUAUGUCGCAGGUGUGGCCCUAAAAAGAAAAAAACCAAAGCUUUGUGGAGUUACAUGCGGUGUAUUUAAUAUGCAGAAUUUGAUAAGUUUUGACAUAUGUGAGGGACCACGAAACCACACCACAGACAAGAUGGCGAUCAUAUCUGUCACCCCCAGUUUCCUCGUGCCCCUCUGUGCGAUCCCCCCUUCCUGCUCCUCCUUUACCCUCAGGCUUGUUGUCACUAUAGAUUGAUUUGCAUGUAUAAUGUUAUAUAAAUGGAAUUCCACAAUGUCUACUCCUUUUUAAAAUCUGACUUCUACUUAGUAAUUAUUUUGAGAUCCAUCUAUAUAGAAUAUUAAAAUACCAGUUAGGCUCUCAGUUUAACAUUCAACCCUUUCACUUGCUUUUGGUAAACAUUCUGUCCCAUUUCCUUCUGGUGUUAAACAUUCUUUUUCUUAUCCACCUCGCUAAGCCAACAACCUCUUCCACCUUCCCAUGAACACAAGCAUUUUCCCCCCUUCCUUGUGAUAAAUAAAGCUUCAGAACAAAAUUGCAUUACUUUCUCCCUGUUUUCACCUUUCUUCCUCUCAUCUCAGGGAUGAAGAGUCCAGCUGGGCUCUGCUGUGUUUGCUUCCUUCUUUCUGCUGUUUCACUCUGUUGCUCAUCUCUUUCUUCUGUACCUUCAACCUCUUUCCAUCACUGCUUCAUUUCCCUAAGCCUGUGAGUUUCUUAUCCUAAAAUAAAACAAUCAAAAUAAUCACAAUAAUUAAAUAUAAGAAUGGUUUGCUGUCUGUACUUUACCCCUCCUGCCUCAUCUGUGUUUCCUUGCUCACUCAAGCCUCUUUAAAGCAAGGUCCACACAGGACCAGCUACGGAAUUUGCAGAGCCAAGUACAAAAUGAAAACGCAAGAUCUCUUGCUCAAAAUUAUGAAGAAUUUCUAGGAGUUCCUGUCGUGGCUCAGUGGUUAAUGAAUCCAACUAGGAACUAUGAGACUGCCGGUUCGAUCCCUGGCCUUGCUCAGUGGGUUAAGGAUCCGGCAUUGCCGUGAGCUGUGGUGUAGGUUGCAGAUGCGGCUUGGAUCCUGCCUUGCUGUGACUUCAGCAUUGGCCGGCGGCUACAGCUCCGCUUUGACCCCUAGCCGGGGAACCUUCAUAUGCCAUGGGAGCAGCCCUAGNAAAAAAAAAAAAAAAAAAAAAAAAAAAAAAA